rnacentral:rRNA from 1 species
AUUGAACGCUGGCGGCAGGCUUAACACAUGCAAGUCGAGCGGGGUGAUGGUGCUUGCACUAUCACUUAGCGGCGGACGGGUGAGUAAUGCUUAGGAAUCUGCCUAUUAGUGGGGGACAACAUCCCGAAAGGGAUGCUAAUACCGCAUACGUCCUACGGGAGAAAGCAGGGGAUCACUUGUGACCUUGCGCUAAUAGAUGAGCCUAAGUCGGAUUAGCUAGUUGGUGGGGUAAAGGCCUACCAAGGCGACGAUCUGUAGCGGGUCUGAGAGGAUGAUCCGCCACACUGGGACUGAGACACGGCGCAGACUCCUACGGGAGGCAGCAGUGGGGAAUAUUGGACAAUGGGGGGAACCCUGAUCCAGCCAUGCCGCGUGUGUGAAGAAGGCCUUAUGGUUGUAAAGCACUUUAAGCGAGGAGGAGGCUCUUUUGGUUAAUACCCAAGAUGAGUGGACGUUACUCGCAGAAUAAGCACCGGCUAACUCUGUGCCAGCAGCCGCAGUAA